GCCGCACGGCUUCCUCCCCGAUGGGCCUGCACAGGUGGGGAUGAGUCACCGGUGGUGAAUCUGCAGGCCCCAUGCCGGCGUGAAAUUCCUCUCCGUUGGCAGGAAUGAGCAGAGCAACUCGGCCGCAGCAGAUCAGAGCCUCCAGGGGUGACCUGAGGUCACCUCCCAGCCCCUUGUGUUCUUGGGGCGUCAGGGCCACCAGAACUCAACCACCUCCUUCCUGACAGGUGGCCAGCGGCAAAGGGACCCCUCACCGUCCUCCCUGCUGCGGCUCCUGGCCGGGAAAGCCCCCAAGCACGCACUUCGGGGACAGGGACACCAGGCACCCACACAACCAUCUGCUUCCUCUCUCCCAGGGUCACUUGCUGGGGAUCUGCUGGUGCCUCCCGCUCCUGCCCUCACUUUUAGAGACACCCCCCCACCCCCGCAAGCUCUCCCUGUGCCAGGGCCCAGAGGCCCACCUCUCAGCAGAUCUUGAGCCCCCUCUCUUUGCCAGGACCCCGGCAGCUUCUUCUUCUCAGGCGUGCAGAGGCGCCCUGGGGGUAGGAAGGGCACCCCUCUUGGGGUUGGAACCUUCACCCCGAGUCCUGUCUUCACCCCUCAGCUGGGGCUCCUGGGCUGGCCAGCUGCUUCCUGAGCCCUCCUUCCUCCCUCACCUCUUCCCUCACAGAGGUGGAUGCUCAACCCCUGAGCCUCGCCGGCCGUCAGCAGAGGUAGGUCUCUCCUCUCUCAGGUGCGUUAAGCAGCGUGCACUGACUUGCGUGGCGCGUCGCCUGGCGGUAUAAGAAUUUGCCCAGCCUUUUCUGUCGUGUAUGCCAGUUUCACUUUCUUUCAUUGUCUGUGCAAGUUUCCUUCUGGUUACUAUUUGCAUAGUACAUCUUCUCCCAUGAUCACAAUCGACAUUUCUGAAUCUGUAUGUUUUAGAUGUAAAUAGCAUAAAGUGGGAAUUGGUUUUUCUACAGUCUCACAGUCUUUGUCUUUGACAAGAUUAUUUAAAUUUACAUUUAACACAAUUUCUGAUAUAUAUUCCUGUUUAGACAUACCAUUUUUGUGUGUGAUGACGGCACUGUGGUGCUAUCGUUUUCAAGUCCUUAUCUGAUAACGGUGCCUACGAAAAUAUUCACGAGUAAAACGAUGUGGUAUGUGAGGAUUUGCUUUAAAACACUCAAGGGGGGAAAUGAGGAGGUAAACGAAACUAGAUUCGUAAGUGUUGGGAUUAUGAGUGUGUAAGGUCCGUUAUCGUAUUCCGUCUAUUUUUGUACAUUAUUUAAAUUUUCUCUAACAACACGUUUUUCCAUCUGCCAUCUCAGUUUCUACUAUUGUCCUGUCUGUUUUGUUCCUUUUCCUCUCAAAUCUCGGCUCCCUUUAGAUGGGUUAUGUUUUCACAAUCCACUUUCUCCUUUGUUCGUUCAGGAACAGUCUCUCUCCGGCAGUGCCGCUCGGAGCGGGACAGGGCGUGGUGCUUGUCUUCCCUUCAGCCCUUCUGGAACUCUCUGCUGAGCAGUUUGCUAUUGGUGCUGAGCAGCUGUUUUGUACCCAGUGCUCUGAUUGACCUCAAGGGACCAGAGGUACAUGCGCUGACCUUGAGCAGCCCAGCAGUUAGGACAGAGGAACACAGACAGGUUAAGACUGACUGAGUGGGCCCCGCAAUCCAGGAGGAGGGGAGGAAGACAGGCAGCCUACCUUUUGGGGGUGGGGGGGUUGACAUGUGAGCUGAGGUCUGAAGGUCAGUAGGGGCAGGUGGUGAAGCCCAGGCUGGCAAAGGAGCACAGAGCAUGAGACCCAACAGUAGGGUGCUGGGAGGGUCCGCGGGUGGGGGUGGGGGUGGGAAGGGCCCCACCAGGGCUGUGGGCAUGCGGUGGGAGGCGUGGUUGUGGGGCCUUCUUCAGGCAGGUGGGGUAGGGGGCUGCCUCCACCCUCCACAGGAGUCCUGACGAAGGAGACAUUGGAGGCUGCAAAGUGGAGGCCUUUUGCAGGAAGAAGCGUCUGGCAGCUUCUGGCACCUUCUAGGAUUGUUUGCACAAGAUCCCAGACUCCCUCUCCGUCCUGGGUUGCUUUUUAAAACACCUUUCUGGGCUGGGGAGUGUGUGAAGGGCUGAGAAGAGAGGAGCCAGAAGUGAGGCCUGUGAAGAAGGUGUGUUUUCCCAGCUGACGCCAGGCUGCUGAGGCGAGAAUUGCUGAGAGUGUGCGCUGAUAUCACAGCUCCCCCAGGGGCCGCUGUGAGGGCGAUGAGACUUCUUCACAGCUGUCCUGGUGUCCCCCACCCCGGCCACACACCCCCAGCCACAUGGCUUCCUGAGGCCUGGGCUGGGACCGCUGGGAGCGCUCAGCCAAGGAGGAAGGACGGGGGACAGAGGAGCAGGCCACGUGUUUGCAGAGAGAGGAAGGAGCAGGAGAGAGAGAGAAACAUCGAUGAUGAGAGAGAGCCUUCGUCUUGAGACUGUCAGGACCACCCCGCGUCUAAGAUGUCCAUCCCGUGUUACUCCGCUGCAGAGAAGUGCUUGCUUUUUGACAAGAGUAAGCCCUGACUUUCGUAUUCACCAGGAAACAUGGCCUUAGACAGUAAAGCCACAGGGGCAGAACUGUGAACCUCUGCUAACUGCCCUGUCCAAUCGACACACACCUUCUGAGCCAAAAGCUCACGUCCCCCUGACACGGAGGCCGCCCCGCCUGGUGGUGUCUGGGGGUCUGCAUCCAAGCCUCACGCUCUGCCCGGAGAAGGACAUGCCCCCCGCCAGCAACCGAAUGCUUGCAGCGAGGGCCAGCCUGGCCCGGCCCCACGGACUUCCCUCCCCAGGCUCCCCUCCGGCACGGGAAGCAGCAGCCACGACACGUCUUUGCCUGCACGGUUCCUGCAGAGGUUCUUGGACUUUGGACUUGGCACUGGGAUCUGAGAGUUCGGCUGCAGUUGAUUGCAUCCAGGCUGUCGCAUGAGCUGUCCCAGGGCCGCCCUUGAAAGCGUGUUUCUGAGGACUCAGACUGAGGGUCUUAUUUGUGUGAGAUAAGAAGGGCGCUCCAGCCUGGCCAUGGUGCUCAGUGGAUGGAGCGUCAUCCCAUAGACCAAGAGGUCCCAGGUUCGAUUCCCAGUCAGGGCACCAUGUGCCCAGGUUGUGGGCUUGGUUCCCAGUAAGUGGCAUGCAGGAGGCAGCCGAUCAAUGAUUCUCUCCCAUUAUUGAUGUUUCCAUCUAUCUCUCUCUUCCUCUCUGAAAUCAAUUAAAAAAAAAUUUUAAGGUCACUCCAGAGGGAGUCUGGGGUCCCCAGUCCCUCUCCGCUCCCCAGGCCUUGCUUAGUGCCCAGCAGGAAGUGUGUGGCCGGCCCGGUCAGCCUAGUCAUCACUCUCUGUGCGUGAGCCCUCCCAGCCCCACAAAGGCCACGCUGCCCCAGCAUUCCUGGGUGUCGGCCACAUUCACUGCCGUGAGAUGAACGCAGCGCGGCCUCACUCCGUCUGCCGAGUUCCAUCUCCUCGGCGCAGGCCACCUGCUGUCCUCUUGCCUUGGGUAUGCCCUCUCCGUUGUUCCUGCAGGACCCAGGUGACGCUGGAGUCCUGGUGGGGUCAGGGGUCAGACUGGGGCCAGGAAACUCAGGCUGUGAAAACCGGGAGAACAAAGGGAAAGGAGUUCUUUUCUUUUUCUUUCUUUCUCUUUUUUUUUUUUAGAGAGACAGACAGAGAGAGAGAAAGAGAAACAGCAACUUGUUGUCCCACUUAUUUUGUGCGCUCGUUGGUGAUUCUUGUAUGUGGCCUGAGAUCGAACCCACAGCCUUGGUGUACGGGGAUGAUGCUCAAACCAAGGAGUCCUUUCGGCUGCAGAGCAUUGCCGGGGGCUUAAGGGGCAGGCGCUUGCUGAGGCGCAGGAAGCGGCACGUCUGAAAGCUGCCCAGUCUACUGUCCGUAGUCUCUCCUCCCUCUUCUGGCCCGAGUCUGUUCCACUGUUUGCAUCUGAGCACCUGGCCUGGCUCAGACUUCACCUUCUGUUCCUACCAAACCUGCCCAAGACAGAGCUGCGGCAGAGCAAUGCCCUCCCUCCGUCCUGCAAGGCUUUCCUGCCACAAUACGCCUUCCCCGUGCACGCUCCCGCUUGGUUUGUUGAGGGAA